rnacentral:rRNA from 1 species
UACAGAGACUGCAAGCGUUAUUCGGAUUCACUGGGCGUAAAGGGUGCGCAGGCGGCCGUGUGUGUGAGGCGUAGAAGCUGGAGCUUAACUCCAGAAUUGCACCUCAAACUACACGGCUAGAGCAUUGGAGAGGGUAGCAGAAUUCACGGUGUAGCAGUGAAAUGCGUAGAUAUCGUGAGGAAUACCAGAGGCGAAGGCGGCUACCUGGACAAUUGCUGACGCUCAGGCACGAAAGCGUGGGGAGCAAAAGGG